UCCUGCCCAGCUACAUCAGAUCAGCCAACAACUUUGUAAUUGCUAAAAACAGCCUGUUGAUUUUCCUCCUAAGUGCUUCAGCUGGCCUGGCUGAGCUUUCUCUUUUCCACUGUCUUGAGAUGUUUCUCUCAUUGUGCACUACGCCGUAUUUUUAUGGUCAACAUAUCCUAUAGCAAACAAUUUCAGGCUGAUGGCGGAAGGGAGAUUGGAUUCAGAUCGGAGAUUUGAGCCCCGGAUGGGGAGCCAGGAACGCCUCAGUUCCUGGACCAGAUCUGCCACUAAAUCAGGAAUCCACAUAAAGCAAAGCCACAUGACGAGCAACUGCAGGAUGAUUUGAUUUUUGUGUGCAGAGGAGGAAGCGAGUGUUUGAACACGGCUCUCGCCUUGGUGCGCCCGCUGCAACUGGAGCCGCCAUUACAGGGACUGAUCGAGGUGGACGCAGUGGUCCCCGUCAGAUGUGUGCCAAAUUGAAAUGCCAGCAGCUGUGUGAGCAGCGGGAUAAUCGUAUCUGCUGCUUCUCUCUUCCAAGUCCUGGCAUUCCCAUUUCAGCAAUGGUGUGUCCGUGCUCAGCUCCGCGGGAGGAAAUCCACUGACCGAAGCCAUGCUGACGCCUGGGGGAUGCGGUUACAUGUUCAUCAGUCACCUGUCUGACUGUGGACCCACUGGGAUGCAGAGCAAUAGGAGAGCAAUGGACUGUCCUCAAAGAGGGCCAUGAGCUGCACUGCCAGUGGGGAAGAACUGCUUCUGCUCAUCCGGGUAAUGUCGCUGUGUUGGCUGAAAAGUCUCCACUUGGUCCUGAGCGGUGCCACCUGCAGAUCCCUGCACCCACUGGAACAAAAUAAAAAGGUGUCGUAUGUGGUUUCAUGGCAGCAGGGAGGUGACAGCACACAUGGGCUGAGAAGCAGAAAUCCCCUUCAACAGCAGAGACUAUCUCUGCCAGCAGGUAGAGAAGAGGUUGUUCGUCUGAAGAAAGAAGGGUGUGGUGGAAAUACUUCAUGCCAGUCAAGUCAACCAAAAUACUACCUGAGUUACAAAGCAUGCUGGAAAACAAAAUUAAACAGAAGAUCUGGGCCCCACCUGUGCUCUCCCAGGAGAGACUGAGAGAAAAGGAGUUCUGGGAGCUGGGAACACACAGCUCCCUGCAGCAGCUGCACUAUGGAAUUCACCCUGGAUGAAUGGGAAUGCCAAUGUCUUCACCUCCUGAAGAGAGGACACAGCUCUCAGACUGAAUUAGCCACAGCUGGAUAGGUUGUUUUGAAAUCUCCACAAUUUUCAGACCUGGAAGAUUUUUCCAUCAUGCUGGCCUGGGGUAGGCAUUUGGUGGGUGAGUAAACUAUAAUUUGUUUUGUUUUGCCUUAUGAAGUAAGUGUAGAAAAUACACCAAAGUAGCUGGUCACAUAUUUGGACCUGGGCUUCUCACGAAAGUUCUGCAAAACCCUCUCAAAUGUCUGAAUAUUUACUAAGUAGGUCACGAAAUAUUUUCCAACAACAAAAAUACAAAUACAAAAAUACAAUAGAGUAAUCCUAUUGGGAUGUAGUUAUGUGCUAAUGACUUUAUUUUCUUCUUCCUCCUGUUCAGGCAGUAACAUGCAAAGUGACCACAGCACUGUUGUGAAAUUGCUGAUUAACCUUUUGACUCUGACAAUUGGGACUUCUCUUAACACCAAUUGGUAAUGCAAAAGACCAUUAGUAGUUAAUAUUGGGACACCCCACCUCCAGAUGCCAAAAGGUUAAUGAAAAAGCAAGUAUCUUGCUUUUACUGGGAAACUUGGAAACCUUCCCACCAAACAUUUCAUUUUUUGUGAUAAACAAGCCAGACCGCUUCAGCUGAGAAAGACGGGUGUUUUGCUAAUGUGUACAGCUGUUAAUUGAAAAAGAUUCUGUUAUGCCUGUUCUUCUGGACAUAGAUAAAAGAGAGAUUUGUUGGUGAACUUUAGUUGGUCCUGAACACCCCUUUGUCAAAAUACACUGCUCAAUAAUAACGCUUUGUUCUGUCUGUAACAGCCACGGAAGGAUUUUGAGUGGAAUACUCAUUUUCUUUAAGUCAUAUCUGCCAGUGAUCAUUCUUGGCUUAAGAUCAGCUGCCAUUUAUGUGUUUUAUGAAAAUAUAACACCAGUUUUAUGCUCAAAACUAUUCUUUUUUAGGUAAAAGCUUCAGCACAAACUGGUUCCCCAUAUGUACCAUAAAUGCUAUUUAUCACAGGUUUUGGUCUUUAAAACAGAAUGAUAAUGUUAAAACAUUUUCAUUACCCUUUCCUUACAGCUAUCAUUCACAAACCAUCUUUUAUAAUUAUGGUACUGGGACAUUUACAUAACUGGGAAAAAGGUCCUUAAACUACAUUUCUAUUAUGUUUGGCACUUGUGUGAAAGGAUAUUAUAUUCAUGUGCAUUAGAGAUUGCUUAUAAAAGAUCAAGACAAUAAUAGCAGAUCAGACGAUAAAGGUUCCCUUUUCUCCUCCCAGACAGGCUGUCUCUGACAGAAGAAUACAGUUCAUCAAAAGUGUCUGCAGGUUGUCAAACUCAGUGAGAUUUGGGGACACUCGGAGGCUGUCAUGGCCAACAAGAAGAUUUUCUGUAGGGUUCUGCCAUCAUUCACCCUCAGGAAAUAAUCACUCACUACAUUCUGCAUGCUCUCAUGAUAGAGCUCUAUUUGAGAGAAAAGAGCCAUUUUAUCAAAGGACAAUAUAUCCCUUCUCUUGGUCCAUGCAGCUUCCAUUAUCAGACCAUAAUAAAUCAUAUUUAUGUUCUCAGUUAAUAAGACUGAUUACAAUGCAGGUUACAGGCAUGGGAAAAGCAAAGCAGGUGAAAAGAUGUUUUAAUGAAAAUAUGAUAAGCAAACAGCUUCUUGUGAACAUUUCAGGCUGUUAUUUGUAAUGAUCACAGGCAAUUUUUGAUACAUCUUCUUUAGCAAUGGUUUAAGCUGCAUAAAUUGGCUUGCCACUUUAUACGUCGAAAUAGGAAGAAUCCCAGUGUCCUUCUUAUGUUGUCUAGAAUCAUUAUAUACAUUAUAAGCAUAAAAUGAGUUUAAUGUAUGUGCUUUGAAAAGAUGGGGAAAACAGAAAAUCAGGGAGGACUGAUUUUAAUGCUGCUCAAAAUGAUUUUGAAAUUUUCUGCACAUCUUUGUUACUAACGGUGCAUUUUCCAUGAAAUUUAGGGAUGACAUGUGGUGCUUUCAUCUCCUUAAAAUUAAUAUACUUCUCUUUCUGUUUUUCUCAGUUUCUUCAAAGUUCUUUUUAGAACACUGUGCAAAGAGACAGAGAGAAAAUUCUCCACUCGAUGUGUGAACAUAUCUGUUAUUAAUGCUGGGGGGGAGUUAAGUGUGUGCUUCUAGAGGAGAAUAUACCCCUGCGUUAAACACUGAAAUCAACCCUAUCAAAAAGGUGCAAGGAUAUUUAGCUGCAGCACACCUGAUGCAUUCAAGGGCCAAAUUCCUUAGAAUCUUUUAAAGUGAUCAAGAUCUCUUGUUAAGAGCGCUACAAUGAUUUCAGAAUAUAACUGUACUGAAGUAGCCGAGGAAGUGUCUUGCUCUUGUCUCGUGAAAAGCUUUCUUUUAUGUUUUAUUGUUGUUUUCUUUUUUUGCUGUAGUCAUUUGGUUUAUGUUUAGCAUCAUACUUUCAAGACAAAGUUAAAAAUUUAAAGAAUAAUUUCUUCCUGCUAGCACAUAAUGCUGACUAAGUAUUUCAAAAUCUACAGCACUUGCAGAAUGCAAGCAUUAUGCUUAUAAUGUAUAUAAUGAUUCCAGACAAUAUGAGAAGGACACUGGGAUUCUUCCUACUUUGAUAUAUAAAGUGGUGAGCAAACGCAGAAGUCUCCAUGGUGUUGUGUGUCUGCGGGAGCUGUUCUGGUCACUGAUACUUCUAAAGCUCCCUUAAACAAAUGUUAAAGCUUUGUAAUGGGCCUGGCAAUGGAGAAUGGCCAUGAAAUUCCCUUAACCCUUUUAGGGCACUUCAGCAGGAGAAGUGAUCACACAAGAAACAGUAAACUGCGCUUCAAAGGCAGCAUCCUGAUAUGACAACAGAUGUAGAUAAUGCACUUCAUGAUGAAACUGCUUGAUACAGAGAAAAACACAUUGUAACUGCCUUCACCCUGAAAGGGGUUUAAAAAUGCUGCCUGCCAACUCCACAAAAAACAGAGCUGCUAUUUCAGCUAAAGGCCAGUGGAUUGUAUUUUUCGUGUCAGUUUUCACUAACCUCAAACAUCACUGUUAUGACAGACUGUCAUCCAACCAAGCCAGCACUGUGGUGCCAUUCAGGCAAGAAAGAAGAAAGCAAACACAAAGGAAACUUAGAAGUCCGAGCAGUAAGAGCGGGUGUCUGUGAGUGCACUUUUGUGCAGCGAUACUGAUUACUGAAAAUGAAACACUUAAAAGAAAACAAACCCAAAAAAGUGAUUUCUGAGCCAUUGGUGUUUUCUUGCCUGGCAAUUUCUCUUUGUUCUGUUUCAUGACAUCAGCCUCAGUGGUUGAAAGGGUGUUCUGGGCCAGAUGUCAAUCACUAUGUCUGACAUAAACAAAAAUAGCUAAAAAGACAUGCCAGCAUCUUCCUUUUGUUUUCCCAUUAGCUCCAUUUUUCUUUUCAGAGGCUGACAAAAAAUUACUGCCUCCGAGUGAAUUCAGUAAUGUCACUAUAUAUCUAAUAUCUAGGAGACCUUUUGUUUUAGCUUUACUGGGCUUAACCACAAAAGACACUUGACAUUGACAAAGAGUCUGUCAAAUACACAAUGAUCAGUGCAGUGAAAUCUCUCAUGACAGAAGGGCACUAUUCUGCACCCCCAGCCUGCAGCAGCCUAUCUGAGUAAAAUGUGCUGGAGCACACGCAGCAGCUGAACCAUUGCAGAGCAGGCCAUAAGCUGAGAUGUGUCUUGUUUAAAGUGUCAUAGUAUAUUAGUGUAAUUAAAACCGCCAAAAGAAUAGAAAAGAUAGAUGGAAAUGUUACAUUACUUGUUUCUAGAGAUUAACCUCCAGCCAGAACUGAAAUACAGAGACACAUUUUGCAUGUCUUAGAGCUCUGAUAUGGAAGAAAACAAGCCUGAGUGUAUGUCUCUUGAAGUGUGAGACAUGAAGUCAUAGUUCCUGUAUUUACACAAUAAAGCAGAAACAGCGCUUCAGACAGGCACGCUGUUUUCUCUCUGAUUACAGCUCCCGUUGUGGCUGUACUCUGCAAAGCAGCUGUAUCAUCUCUCAGCUACUUCCCUUUUACUCUCACUGCCUUCGUGCUUGGAAGGUCUUGAGGACCCUUGGGCCUACUGAUGUGCUGGUGUCAAUGCCUUCUGCUCCCUUGGCAUCUGCCAGCGUUGCGUGGGCCCAGCCUAGAGGCAGAGCACCCUGUCCCUAUGGUGUCUGCAGAAGACACAGCUCAGCUCCAGACUCAGCAACACCCAGCUAGGAAGAUGUUUGAAGAAUGGCUUCAGUCUGACCUUUAUAUACCAGGCUGCAUGCUUGCUUCUCUGUUGAGUCUAUAGAUAAAACUGCAUGGCUUUCUGAAAUUGACUCUGAAAAUUAUGUUCCCAGCACUGCAUGUUUUCCUUCCCAUGCAUCAUUACCUGUGAUAACUAUUCAAGUUACGAUCUCUGUUCUAACCAUGAGGCAAGUUAUAUCUGGUGGUGAAAAACCCUUGGAGUUUUUAUGGACCUGUUCAGCUGUGUUGGCUGAACGUUGGUUUAUCCAGUAUCUGGAGAGGACCUCGUCUGGCUUCAGCAGUUCUGAAACAUACAAAAGCGGCAUGGCUUUCUUCUAAUGUAAGCCUUACAUUCAAGGAAAAGAUGCAUUAAUCAGAUUCAUCUCAGUGACUGUGAAAUUCCUGAGGAUGUUAUUACUUUCAAGUCAGAUUAACGGAGUAAUUUCCAGACAACCAUGCUACCAGAAUACAUGAUACUACUCUUAAAGUGGACCUCAGAAACUUUGAGAAAGAAAAUGAUUCCAUCUUUUUUGAUCAGGUUCUUCCUCUACAGGAGUUCCUGCAGCUACAGGACCAGGAGAUGUCCGAGGUCAAGAAAAGGUUAAAGUUGUUCACUGCUUUCAAGCUCUGGCCUUAGAAGUUAAUUCAGUGCUGUGCUGCGAGAGCUACAGAGUAAAUCCUUGGAACAGUGAAUUGCUGGUUUGAUAUCAAGCUCACGUCAACAUUUCUAUCAGAAAGAAUCACCAUAAUCACCAGAUAUAUUAGCAGAAACUGCUCCUUCCCAUUGACCACAUACGCCAAAAUCCUUGGAAACUCUUAAGCCGUGGACUUCCCCUGAAGACAUACAGAGAAAAUGGCUCAAGCAAACACUCCUCCCUUCCUUCAGUGGAGCCCAGGUCAGCUGUGACAAGCAUCUGCUCUGUGGGUAGGUGCAAAAUACACGACAAAGAUAUCGGCCGUGGAUCCCUUCUGUAAACGAUGACCUCAUCCGGAGGUUAUGGGACCUUCACGAGGAUACCAGUCGUACUCCUCCAUGGCGAUGUGUUACAGUAAGUAAUUCGCUUCCUGGAUGCACUUGUAACAGGCAGCUAUCCUAACAACACAGGAUACGCAGACAUGUCCAGGUCUUUAAAAAGUCUUCCAAUGCAAUUAUUAAGGUAUUACGUGCUGAUAAUGCCACCAAAAACAUUGAGCAUGCUGUUCAUUCAGUUGGGCAUGAAACUACUUCCUUCUGAAUAUUUUAAAUGUACUUGGCUAAUUAAUUAAACAAUUAAUAAGGGCUACAGUUAAGUUUCUGUUUUUCAUUGUAACAAAUUAUUCCAGAGCAUUGUUUUUACUGAAUUCUGCAUAGGACUCUUUUUGGACACCACACCGAAGUGCAGCUACGAUGUUAAAAGAAAAAUGUUCCUUUGACAAAUGAAAUCUUUAAAAUGGCAACAAGCAAGGAAAAAGUCAGCUCUGAGUGGAAAACAUUUAAUAUGUUUUGAUGAUUUCUUAUCUCAGACAGAAGAGAAGACAAGUUGAUUUUCUCUGCUGAAACUUUUUGAAGUGAGUUCUGACUGAAAAGAUGUGGUGGUGUUUUAACAAAAACAUAUUGUUAUAAAACAUGAUGUAUGCUCAGAAGUAUUAAUGUGUACCUCUCUGCUUCAGGUUUGAACAUUUCAGUCGAGUGAACUAGCCUGUUCCAUUUAUUUUUUAAAUUCUUAUCCAGUUGAUCUUUUUUUUGUUGUUCUUUAAGUUUACAGUAGUUCAAUGGCUACUUUUAUCUCUGAUUUAGGCUUUCAAACAGCACCAAACUCUGCCGUCCCAUCCUGUAAUCUGUCCAUUUAUUAUGGUGACUGGUGAACAGAGGCAACAUGUUAGUGCAAGCACUGUAAAAAUAUCUGUGGAGAAAACAUUCUUUCACUCUAAAGGAUAAGUUCCAUAAGAAUGUAUAUUCUCCAGUAUUUGCAAAAGUACGGUACGGAUUUUUCUUGUUAAAGGUGGCAAUGUCUGAAUCGCAAAUAAUUUCACGUUUAUAUGAGAGACAAUAUAUCAUUUUACAGAUCUGUAAUCAUGGAAAUCAAUGGCCAGUAUCCAUUUAAGAAAAUCGAAAUAAUUUAACUGAUUUACUUAAACAAUGCCUUGUUAGACUACGGAAUUUAAAGUCCUCUUUCAAAAUGAAGGUUGUUUUAAGUAGUGAACUUAUUAUUACAUACUACAUUCUAGUGGCACGUAAACACUUCUGAUUUAAAACAUGAAUUCCGUGUAAGUUCAAACUGAUGUCUUUGACUUUAGUUACAGAACUCAAUUUCAGGACUUUCUGCUGCUGGUGGCUGUAUAUCAGUUCUUCCAAUAGGGAUGUGCUCAGGACAAAUUAGUGAACGUAAUUUUAGCUGUAUGAGGUCAUUACAAAUACAGCCUUAGCUCUUCCUAGAGUGGACUUCAUUGUUAAUAUAAAUAUAUAUCUAUAGUUACUGACAUUUAUAUUAUUUGGCUCCUGUCCUAAGUUAUGGAUACAGUGAUGAUAAAAGCCCUUACCUAAGUGAGUCAUGCUUACUAAUUACUUCCAUGGUACUGGGUUCCUGUAAAUAAAGUUACUCAUGUAUUUAUAAGCAAGUCAAAAUUUAUACAUAUGUUUCUAAGAGUGAGUUAUCUUUCUCUCUGGGGCAAACAGCACAGUCUGCUGUUUGGAAAAGAACACUGAGAGUAAGGACAUCCAGGGUGCUUCCUCGCUUCUGCAAGGGUGCGUGCUCUCCUCUGCCAUUGGAUAUCCAACUAAAAUACUUAAUUUGGUCACAUUUUUUAAACUGUUUAAGACCCUUCUGCAUUACUUCAAGGUAGGAAAUGGCUGUUGAUUUUUCCUCGCUGUUUCCAAAGAGGCUGCGGUAAGAGGGUUUCAGUCUAAUUGUUUGCUCUAAAGAUGUAGCGUUCAAGACACAAAGCCUAGCAGUGUGACGUGGAAGAUCUCAAGACAAAGCAGCAGCCUCAACAUCUCUCUCUAAUGAGAACAGGAAAAGACAAUUGAGAUCCCGUAGGAAUGCAGUAUAUUUAGGAGAGAAGCAGAGCUCCUUUCACGAAUGGAGAGAAAACCCUGGUGAAUGCUGGACUACCUGCUAUCUCUGGGUGUGACUAGGUGAGUGAAGGAUUUGGAUCACAGCCUGUAACGUUUUCCAGACAUUUAGAGUGCAACUACUACAACUACUACGCCAGCAAUUUUAUGCCUUCCUUUCCCUGACUCCAACAGUAUGUGAGAUAAGCAGCCAGAUUUUCUUCUGCAUUGUGUUUUUUUAUCCAUUCAGCCAAAAUUAACAGUCUUCAAGGAUAAUGUAUGCCAAGCGAAUUUAAAUCUUGCGGACUCAAAUCGACCUAAAGUUGAUGGAUACAUUCAUGCCUACUGCUGAAAUCUACCAAUUACACAGAACUAUGCUAACUUACCAUAGAAACAUCUCAUCUAAUAGCACAGAUGAUGUUGAACUAACUAAUUACAUUAUGGCACAUAGACAAUGAAAAACAUAACGAAGAUGACAGCACAGCAACAACAGAUGCUGCACAAAAGAAAAAUUAGAAAAAUAUUGCUCUGCAAAAUGCUGUCUGUUAAGGUUUCUUCUGUUAAAAUUAAUCACAAAAAUUAGUGAAGAUUAGAUUUCAGCAGAAGAUACGAGCAUUGUAAUGCUAUUUGGAAAACGUCAUUAAACCAUUUAAAGUCCUACUCUUUCAGAAGGUAAUUCCCCCCCUUUUUUUUUUGUAUCACUGUCGGCUUUAAGAUGAGUAAACAGUUCAGUGCCGAUGGCAGAGUUUCUUGGGAGGAUGUCUUUCCCAGUGAGGAGAGGUCCCGAUGGCUCUUCCAGAGCCGUGUUUGGUAGCUUCCAGCCAUUAGAGCUUAGAUAAUUAGGCAACUCAGAUUUUAUUUUAGCUUGGCAUUUGCUCUGUUCUGUGCUCUUGGCUGUCAGUGACAGUUGAUUAUCUGUAGCGUGCCUUGUUACUUUAUAUAUUUUAAACUGUAACAGAUCCUAAAUACCAAAUCUGAAACUGCUGAGUAUGUUUAAAUGUAAUAUAUACAUGGGGAUUACAUCCAGAUGAUGUACUUCAUAGACCUGUGAUAAAAAAAAAUGCAUCACUUCUAGCCCACGCCGGUCCUCACCCCCUCCCCCGGUAGCUUUCCAUGAGCUCCCGGCUGCUUCAGCACCGAUCCUGAACGUAAUCCAGCUGAUGGAGAGAGACAGAAAGGGGCUUUUCCCCUAAAUAUAUAUUUCCUCUAAAAAUACCUCUGAUGCUGCUCAAGUUUCAAUACCUUACUGGCUUUAUAAGAAAGCAAAACAUAUAUUUGAUAUCCUGUUUCUCCCAGUUUAUUUUUCAGCUGGACUUUUCUUUCUCUUCAGCUGUUGUGCGGUUCCCUGGCUCCCUGCUGCUCGUCCGGCGGCGGCCGGGGUGCAGGCACGGCGGAGGCCCACAGGUGGCGGUGUAGUUCAAGCACACCUGGGCUGUGAUUGCAGAGCCGCGCUGCCGGCCGGCCUGCCGGGGAAGGUACUCUGCUUCUCCUGCCUGCAAGGAAAUACUCCCGGCUGAAGUUCCGCGCACCCGUGCCGCCGCGCCCCAGCCUUCAGCAGGGGCAGAAACGUUCUGUUGACCCUGCAACAGCGGCCGCGCACGAAGGUG
ensembl:lncRNA